GCCUCCGUAGGUCAUGGCAGACCACCUGAAAAUUGUGAAAAAGGCAACGACUUCUUCAGGAGAUGUGGGUUCGAUUCUCACCGGAGGCA